GGAGGUGGACUCUGUCACAUGCGCACUGAACCUGACAUUGCGCGGCAAGCUGACGUGUGAUGCUCCAGCUGCCAUGUGCGAAAAUGCAACACUGAUGAAAAGGGAGCUGUACGUUUCUCUAUGGUGGCUUGGAAGCAAAAAGUUUCAGGUAA
rnacentral:lncRNA from 1 species